UACGAAGGGGGCGAGCGUUGUUCGGAAUUACUGGGCGUAAAGGGCGCGCAGGCGGCCUUAGAAGUCAGAUGUGAAAGCCCCGGGCUCAACCUGGGAAUGGCAUUUGAUACUCUGAGGCUGGAGUACGGGAGAGGAGAGUGGAAUUCCCAGUGUAGAGGUGAAAUCGUAGAUAUUGGGAAGAACACCGGUGGCGAAGGCGGCUCUCUGGACCGUAACUGACGCGUG
rnacentral:rRNA from 1 species